AAUCAACGCUGGCGGCGUGCCUAACACAUGCAAGUCGAACGCGAAAGGGGGCUUCGGCUCCUAAGUAGAGUGGCGUCCGGGUGAGUAACACGUAGGUAAUCUGCCUUCGGGUGGGGAAUAACCAGUCGAAAGAUUGGCUAAUACCGCAUAAUGCAGCGGCACCUAAUGGUGAUUAGUUGUUAAAGCGGGGGAUCGUAAGACCUCGCGCCUGAAGAGGAGCCUGCGGCAGAUUAGCUAGUUGGUGAGGUAAUGGCUCACCAAGGCUUCGAUCUGUAGCUGGUCUGAGAGGACGGCCAGCCACACUGGCACUGACACACGGGCCAGACUCCUACGGGAGGCAGCAGUGGGGAAUUUUGGGCAAUGGGCGAAAGCCUGACCCAGCAACGCCGCGCGAGGGAGGAAAUCCUUCGGGAUGUAACCUCACAAGCAAGGAGAGAGCUCAGGGCCGAAUAAGCUUUGAGUCCGACGGUACCUUGCGUAAGCCACGGCUAACUACGUGCC
rnacentral:rRNA from 1 species